rnacentral:pre_miRNA from 1 species
UAUAUCAACUGAAAAAGUCAUCAACAACAAAGUUGAAUAACUCAUCAAGAUCUAAAACUUUUAUUUUGGUCAUUUCUUCAUACGACAAAGUGAUAGUAACAUUGUUCACAAAAUUGACAUAUCUCUUAUCUGGUUUUAUAAAACUAUAACACAUAUAUGUAAAAUUUGUGAAUAAUAUUACUAACAUUUCGUCGGAUGAAGAAAUAACAAAAAUAAAAGUUUUAGAUCUUGAUGAGUUAUUCAACUUUGUUGUUGAUGACUUUUUCAAUUGAAAUC